rnacentral:snoRNA from 1 species
GCCCUUGACACAUGAUGAUAUUAUCACCUACAUACUCGCAGGUCUCAGUCACGAGUAUGACAGCUUUGUUGCAUCAUUAACAGCACGAAUUGACAGCAUUUCACUUGAAGAGAUUUAUUCUCUUCUGUUGACAACUGAAGC